GCUGCUAGGAAGUCUGGAGCGAGCGC
rnacentral:sRNA from 1 species